GUCUGGAGUAUUUAGGGAGUUGGGGAAGGGCUACCUAGAAAGAAGAAAAAAGACGGUAAAAAUUGUCAUGUUAAGUGGGGACAUAGCCCAAAAGACCCUAAAUAUCAGAGGAUGGUGUACAGCUUUACCUGUGUACAAUGAAGAGGCCACAAGAAUUCUUACCUGGAGGAAUAACUUAGUGAAAUUGACUUUCCUGAAUGAUUUGUCUGACCAGAGUCUGCAAGAUAGGCUUAUAAAAGAAAGUGCAUUUCCUUUUGCAGUGUAAAUAUGACCUCCAGAAACUACUUCCAGCAAGAGAUGGAAAUUCUUUCCUCUCCACUUGACUCUGGGUUGGCUAUGUGACUUGCUUUGACCAACAGGACAGUGCAGAAGUCUGCCACAUGAGAGGCCUGGAAGUUGCUCUAUGCUCUUACAGAGCCCAGCUGCCAUAUGGCAAGGAAGCAAGUGCUAUCCUCCAGCACAGGAAGAGGCUCUGGAGAAAGGUGCCAUCUGAUGAGCAGAUGAAGGCAUGGAGAGGAAAUGAAGUGUCCCAGACAACAGGAAAUACUAAGGCCCAAGACAUGCAUAUUCUACAUCUCUAUCUUCACAUUUCAUCAGAUAAUUAAGGAAACAUCAAAGGCCUCCCAUUUAUAUUGAAUGCUGAAGAGUAACCGGAUGGAUAAACUAAUGCGAAACUAUCUGCUGGAUACAGUUAAUGGCCAACAUUUACUGGAUAUUUACCAUGUCGGGAAUUGGGAAUAAUGUUCAAUCUUUUAUGUCUGUCUCAUUCAUUUAUUCAAAUUCCAAGCUACCAGAUGUAAUCCUCA
rnacentral:lncRNA from 1 species